GGAAACAGGCCAGGCCCAGGGCUGACGUGGGGGAGAGGGGAGGGGUCUCGCUGUCCACCGGGGGACCCCCCCCCCCCCGGCCAAGCAGCCGCCGUCUCUGAGGUGUACGCGCAAGCACGCGGGGUGCUCCCCGCGGUCCGCCACCCGCCGACUGUGAGAAAGUCCGGGUCUCCUCAGACAAUUUGCACAAAGUCCGGGUCUCCUCACAGGAUUUGCACAAAGUCUGGGUCUCCACAGCGAUUUGAACAAAGUAUCAGUCUCCUCAGAAGAUCUGCACAAAGUCCCGGUCUCCUCAGAGGAGCUGAGCAAAAUAUCAGUCUCCUCGGAAGAUCUGCACAAAUUCCGAGUCUCCUCACAGCAUCUGCACGAAGUCUGUGUCUUCUCAGAGCAUUUGCACGAAGUCCGAAUCUUCACAGCCGGCUCGAACAAAAUAUCGGUCUCCUCAGGAGAUUUGCACGACGUCCGGCUCUCCUCAGACGAUUCGUACAAAAUGUCAGUCACCUCAGAUUUGCACGAAGUCUCGGUCUCCUCAGACGAUUCGUACAAAAUGUCAGUCACCUCAGAUUUGCACGAAGUCUCGGUCUCCUCAGACGAUUCGUACAAAAUGUCAGUCACCUCAGAUUUGCACGAAGUCUCGGUCUCCUCAGACGAUUCGUACAAAACGUCAGUCACCUCAGAUUUGCACGAAGUCCCGGUCUCCUCAGACGCUUUGCACAAGAUACCAGUCACCUCAGAAGAUCUGCACAAAGUCCGGGUCUCCUCACAGCAUUUGCACGAAGUCUCGGUCUCCUCAGACGAUUCGCACAAAAUAUCAAUCACUUCAGAUUUGCACAAAGUCCCGAUCUCCUCAAACGCUUUGCAAAAAGCCCGGGUGUCCCCAAAAGAUUGCACAAAGUCCGGGUCUCUUCAAAGCAUUUGCACGAAGUCCCGGUCUCCUCAGAUGAUUUGCACAAAGUCCGAGUCUCCUCAGACGAUUUGCACAAAAUAUCAAUCACCUCAGAUUUGCACAAAGUCCCGAUCUCCUCAGACGCUUUGCACAAAGCCCGGGUAUCCUCAGAAGAUUGCGCAAAAUCCGAGUCUCCUCAAAGAUUUUGCAAAAAAUAUCCAUCUCCUCAGAUAAUUUGCACAAAGUCCGGGUCUCCUCAAAGGAUUUGCACAAAGUCCCGGUCUCCUCAGACGCUUUGCACAAAGCCUGGUGUCCUCAGAAGAUUGCGCAAAGUCUGGGUCUCCUCAAAGCAUUUGCCCAAAUUCCCAGUCUCGGACGAUUUGCACGAAGUCCUGGUCUCCUCAGACGACUGGUACAAAAUGUCAGUCUCCUCAGACGACUGGCACAAAACAUCAGUCACCUCAGAAGACUUGCACCACGCCGGGGUCUCCUCACAGGAUUUACACAAAGUGCUGGUCUCCUCAGAGGAUUUGCACAGAAUACCAAUCUCCUUAAACAAUUUCCACCAAGUCCGAUUCUCUGAGGAUUUGCACAAAGUCCGGGUCUCCUCACUGCAUUUGCACAAAGUCCGGGUCAAAAUCUAUUUUUUUUUUUUUUGCCCUCAUUUCCGUCACAGGCAGGCAGCCGCCCAGGUGCAAAUCAAAACCAGGCCCAGGGGCCUCGCAGGUGGCAGGGCUGGGGUGGGGGAGGGCGGGGGUCCUGGACCAGGGCACAGGGCGCGCAGACCUCCUGGCCUGGCUCACUCAGGCCUGCUUCCUCCCAAGGCAAACAUUAAAAAAAAAAGUCCGUUUUGGCAGGCGGAAACGGAGAAAUAUCAAUAA
rnacentral:lncRNA from 1 species